rnacentral:lncRNA from 1 species
AUGAGAGAACGUUUUUGGUGUCCCCAGGUGUCCCCAGGUGUGUCCCAGGUGUCCCCAGGUGUGUCCAGGUGUCCCCAGGUGUGUUCCAGGUGUCCCCAGGUGUGUUCAGGUGUGUUCCAGGUGUCCCCAGGUGUGUCCCAGGUGUCCCCAGGUGUCCCCAGGUGUCCCCAGGUGUGUCCAGGUGUCCCCAGGUGUGUUCCAGGUGUCCCCAGGUGUCCCCAGGUGUGUUC